UACGGGGGGGGGCAAGCGUUGUUCGGAAUUACUGGCGUAAAGCGCGUGUAGGCGGCUAAGUAAGUCGGGCGUGAAAUCCCACGGCUCAACCGUGGAAGUGCACUCGAAACUGCAUAGCUAGAGUCCUGGAGAGGAAGGUGGAAUGCUUGGUGUAGAGGUGAAAUUCGUAGAUAUCAAGCGGAACACCGGUGGCGAAGGCGGC
rnacentral:rRNA from 1 species